rfam:Neolecta irregularis DAH-3 scaffold_1382, whole genome shotgun sequence.
GGGCGCGUAGCGCAAUGGUAGCGCGUCAGAUUUCGGUUCUGAAGGCUGUGUGUUCGACUCAUACCGUGCUCG